CCUACGGGUGGCAGCAGUGAGGAAUAUUGGUCAAUGGACGAGAGUCUGAACCAGCCAAGUAGCGUGAAGGAUGACUGCCCUAUGGGUUGUAAACUUCUUUUAUAUGGGAAUAAAACGUUCCACGUGUGGGAUUUUGUAUGUACCAUAUGAAUAAGGAUCGGCUAACUCCGUGCCAGCAGCCGCGGUAAUACGGAGGAUCCGAGCGUUAUCCGGAUUUAUUGGGUUUAAAGGGAGCGUAGGUGGAUUGUUAAGUCAGUUGUGAAAGUUUGCGGCUCAACCGUAAAAUUGCAGUUGAAACUGGCAGUCUUGAGUACAGUAGAGGUGGGCGGAAUUCGUGGUGUAGCGGUGAAAUGCGUAGAUAUCACGAAGAACUCCGAUUGCGAAGGCAGUUCACUGGACUGCAACUGACACUGAGGCUCGAAAGUGUGGGUAUCAAACAGGAUUAGAUACCCUUGUAGUC
rnacentral:rRNA from 1 species